rnacentral:rRNA from 1 species
AUUGAACGCUGGCGGCAGGCCUAACACAUGCAAGUCGAGCGAGCGGCGGACGGGUGAGUAAUGUCUGGGAAACUGCCUGAUGGAGGGGGAUAACUACUGGAAACGGUAGCUAAUACCGCAUACCAUCAGAUGUGCCCAGAUGGGAUUAGCUAGUAGGUGGGGUAACGUCUCACAUAGGCGACGAUCCCUAGCUGGUCUGAGAGGAAGACAAGCCAGACUGGAACUGAGACACGGUACAGACUACUACGUGAGGCAGCAGUGGGAAAGAUUGCACAAUGGGCGAAAGCCUGAUGCAGCCAUGCCGCGGGUGUGAAGAAGGCCUUCGGGUUGAAAAGCACUUUCAGCGGGGAGGCGUUACCCGCAGAAGAAGCACCGGCUAACUCCGUGCCAGCAGCCGCGGUAAUAC